rnacentral:rRNA from 1 species
GGUGAACGCUGGCGGCGUGCCUAAUACAUGCAAGUCGAGUGAACAGACGAGGAGCUUGCUCCUUUGACGUUAGCGGCGGACGGGUGAGUAACACGUGGGUAACCUACCUAUAAGACUGGGAUAACUUCGGGAAACCGGAGCUAAUACCGGAUAAUAUUUCGAACCGCAUGGUUCGAUAGUGAAAGAUGGCUUUGCUAUCACUUAUAGAUGGACCUGCGCCGUAUUAGCUAGUUGGUAAGGUAACGGCUUACCAAGGCAACGAUACGUAGCCGACCUGAGAGGGUGAUCGGCCACACUGGAACUGAGACACGGUCCAGACUCCUACGGGAGGCAGCAGUAGGGAAUCUUCCGCAAUGGGCGAAAGCCUGACGGAGCAACGCCGCGUGAGUGAUGAAGGUCUUCGGAUCGUAAAACUCUGUUAUUAGGGAAGAACAAACGUGUAAGUAACUGUGCACGUCUUGACGGUACCUAAUCAGAAAGCCACGGCUAACUACGUG